rnacentral:rRNA from 1 species
GACAGAGGGUGCAAACGUUGUUCGGAUUUACUGGGCGUAAAGCGCGUGUAGGCGGCUUUGCAAGUCGGAUGUGAAAGCCCACGGCUCAACCGUGGAAGUGCAUCCGAAACUGCAUGGCUGGAGUCUCGGAGAGGAAGGUGGAAUGCUUGGUGUAGAGGUGAAAUUCGUAGAUAUUAAGCAGAACACCUGCGGCGAAGGCGGCCUUCUGGACGAUGACUGACGCUGAGACGCGAAAGCGUGGGGAGCAAACAGG